UGAGUUUUGUGGGAUUUCUCUGCUGGAU
rnacentral:piRNA from 1 species